CCUACGUGUGGCAGCAGUGGGGAAUAUUGCUCAAUGGGGGAAACCCUGAUCCAGCAACGCCGCGUGAGUGAGGAAGUAUUUCGGUAUGUAAAGCUCUAUCAGCAGGGAAUUGAAAAGAAGGUACCUGAAAAAGAAGCCCCGGCUAACUACGUGCCAGCAGCCGCGGUAAUACGUAGGGGGCAAGCGUUAUCCGGAUUUACUGGGUGUAAAGGGAGCGUAGACGGAAAGGCAAGUCAGAAGUGAAAGCCCAAGGCUCAACCAUGGGACUGCUUUUGAAACUGUCAAACUAGAGUGCGGGUGAAGUAGGAGGAAUUCAUAGUGUAGCGGUGAAAUGCGUAGAUAUGAGGAGGAACACCAGUGGCGAAGGCGGCUUACUGGACCGAAACUGACGUUGAGGCUCGAAAGCGUGGGGAGCAAACAGGAUUAGAUACCCGUGUAGUC
rnacentral:rRNA from 1 species